rnacentral:lncRNA from 1 species
AUAAAUUGACAAAAUCACACCAGUUUAAAACAUUGUUAGAUGGUUCAGUGGGUGAAAUAAACUUAGAAAGCAAAAGAUCCCAAACUAGUUAAUAUAGAGAGUUCAUAUCAUAAAAUGUCGAACCAUAGAUGAGGCUGGAAUUUCUAAAACAACAUAGUCAUAAGGUAGGCACGGCACAGCCUCCAAGCCAUGAACAAAAUAUACGUAACUAGAUCGCUACACAACUAAUAAAAGGAUAAAUCAACAUCAACUGUUAUUCCUAUAGUAAAAUAGUCCUACCAUACACGCUGAUGAUGAUCUCCUAAUUGUAGGUUGAUGGGAACCUUAGGAUGAUUUGUGCUUUAAUUUUCUAUUCCCAGAAGGUGCCCUGGGUGGUGUCCAUGGUGUGGUUUCUGCUCAUGGGGAGGCUUCUCUCCCUUACCUUUGGGUGGUAUUACAUAUUUGUGUGGCUCACUUAAGAGGUGUCUAUGAGGAGGUUUAGGUUCAUGAGGUGCUCCCUUUCCCUUACCCUUGGAUGGUUUGUCACCGGGGAAUGGUUUCAUGGAUGGCUUACCGUCAGGGAAUCCUUCAACAUGUGGAGGUUUACCCCCUGAGUGUCGUGGAGGUUUAUGUGUGUCCUCAACUUCCACAUUCAAUAGGUGUCUAUGAGGAGGUUUGGGUUCAUGAGGUGCUCCCUUUCCCUUACCCUUGGAUGGUUUGUCACCAGGGAAUCCUUCAACAUGCGGAGGUUUACCCCCUGAAUGUCGUGGAGGUUUACCACCUGAUUGUUGUGGAGGUUUAUGUGUGCCCUCAACUUCCACACUCAAUAGGUGUCUGUGAGGAGGUUUGGGUUCAUGAGGUGCCCCUUUUCCCUUACCCUUGGAUGGUUUGUCACCAGGGAAUCCUUCAACAUGUGGAGGUUUACCCCCUGAAUGUCGUGGAGGUUUACCACCUGAGUGCUGUGGAGGUUUAUGUGUGCCCUCAACUUCCACACUCAAUAAGUGUCUAUGAGGAGGUUUGGGUUCAUGAGGUGCUCCCUUUCCCUUACCCUUGGAUGGUUUUUCACCAGGGAAUGGCUUCAUGGGUGCUUUAUCGGUAGGGAACCCCUCAACAUGUGGAGGUUUACCCCCCGAGUGUCUUGGAGGUUUACCACCUGAAUGUCGUGGAGGUUUAUGUGUGCCCUCAACUUCCACACUCAAUAAGUUUCUAUGAGGAGGUUUUUCCCCAUGUGGUGGCUCCUGUCCUUUACCGCCAGGUCCACUGUGUAUUGGCGGUCGGUGUUCAGGGAAUGGCUUGUGUUGUGGUUGCUUCUCACCUGGGAAAGGCUUCCCCUUGGGAAGCUCAUUAUCAUGAUGUUGGUUAGCU